rnacentral:rRNA from 1 species
UACGGAGGGUGCAAGCGUUAUCCGGAUUCACUGGGUUUAAAGGGUGCGUAGGUGGGCAAGUAAGUCAGUGGUGAAAUCUCCGGGCUUAACCCGGAAACUGCCAUUGAUACUGCCGUGCUUGAGGACUGGAGAGGAGACUGGAAUUUACGGUGUAGCGGUGAAAUGCGUAGAUAUCGUAAGGAAGACCAGUGGCGAAGGCGGGUCUCUGGACAGUUCCUGACGCUGAGGCACGAAGGCCAGGGGAGCAAACGGG